CGGGUGAGUAACGCGUGAGCAAUCUGCCUUGGAGUGGGGAAUAACGGCUGGAAACAGCCGCUAAUACCGCAUGAUGCAGCUGCGAGGCAUCUCCCUGGCUGUCAAAGAUUUAUCGCUCUGAGACGAGCCCGCGUCUGAUUAGCUAGUUGGUGGGGUAACGGCCUACCAAGGCGACGAUCAGUAGCUGGUCUGAGAGGAUGAUCAGCCACACUGGGACUGAGACACGGCCCAGACUCCUACGGGAGGCAGCAGUGGGGAAUAUUGGACAAUGGGCGCAAGCCUGAUCCAGCCAUGCCGCGUGAGUGAUGAAGGCCUUAGGGUUGUAAAGCUCUUUUAUCCGGGACGAUAAUGACGGUACCGGAGGAAUAAGCACCGGCUAACUUCGUGCCAGCAGCCGCGGUAAUACGAAGGGGGCUAGCGUUGCUCGGAAUCACUGGGCGUAAAGGGCACGUAGGCGGCGUUUUAAGUCGGGGGUGAAAGCCUGUGGCUCAACCACAGAAUGGCCUUCGAUACUGGGACGCUUGAGUAUGGUAGAGGUUGGUGGAACUUUGAGUGUAGAGGUGAAAUUCGUAGAUAUUCGCAAGAACACCGGUGGCGAAGGCGCCCAACUGGACCAUUACUGACGCUGAGGCGCGAAAGCGUGGGGAGCAAACAGGAUUAGAUACCCUGGUAGUCCACGCCGUAAACGAUUAAUGCCUGCUGCUGGGGUGCUUGCCCCCGCAGUAGCGCAGCUAAGGCUUUGAGCAUUCAGCCUGGGGAGUACGGUGGCAAGAUUAAAACUCAAAGAAAUGGUCGGGGGCCCGCACAAGCGGUGGAGCAUGUGGUUUAAUUGGAAGCAACGGGCAGAACCUUACCAUCCUUUGACAUGGCGUGUUAGCCAGAGAGAUUUGGGGUCCCCUUGGGGGGCGCGCACACAGGUGCUGCAUGGCGGUGGUCAGCUGGUGUCGUGAGAUGUUGGGUUAAGUCCCCUAUCGAGCGCAACCCUUGUCCUUGGUUGCCAUCAGUCAGUUGGGCCCUUUAGGGAGAUUACCGGGGAUAAGCCCCGAGGAAGGUGUGGAUGACGUCAAGUCAUCAUGGCCCUUACGGGAGGGGCUACACACGUGCUACAAUGGCGGUGACAGUGGGAGGCGAGGGAGCGAUGUGGAGCAAAUCCCCAAAAGCCGUCUCAGUUUGGACUGCACUCUGCAACUUGAGUGCAGGAAGGCGGAAUCGCUAGUAAUCGUGGAUCAGCAUGCCACGGUGAUUAAGGUUCCGGGCCUUGCACACACCGCCCGUCA
rnacentral:rRNA from 1 species